rnacentral:miRNA from 1 species
UGUGUUUGUGUGUGUGUGUGUGUGUGUGUGUGUGUGUGUGUGUGCGCGCGCUCACGUGCAUGCACACUCCUAC